CUCAUCAAUAUGUUGAGCAACGAGAACAUUUACGAUUUUGCAGCGCCCUCCCCUCGGGCCCAAAGUCCUGUCAGACUGUUCAUCAACAAAGAACGAGUAGAGCGGUACCAAAAGAACAUAAAGAAUCUGCAGUCGGAGCACAAAACCAUGGGAAUGCCAGAAAUUGAUCCUCCUAGUCCUCAAAGCUUUAUGAGAAAGCAGGAGCAGGGUCAGCGUCCAAAGCUGGUUGAAUUAGACGAGAGUGAGCGAACCAGAGCAUGCGAUGCGGCUGGCGGGGAAAGAAAGCCGCCCGUACCAGACCGCUUUUUCCGCGAUCCUGACAGAUGCCCAAGGGACUUUAGCUCCGAGAACGUGAAUUACGCUUCGAGUUUGAUUCCUCCGGUGCUGCAUGAGCGGAUCGUCAUCGGCGCCAGAGGCGAGGUUGUCGCUCUUGAAAAUUCGGUGCUCAGACCAAAGUACAUGGGAAAGCCAGUGAGACGCCCAAAAUUGGUGUUUUUUGAUCUGUCUGCUUUUACUUCUUCCGUAAUAGAAAUACGGCAAAUUGCCCGCGAGCGUGGUCAAAUUCAAAGAAAUACAGCGCGAAAAAUCUGAAUUUGCGCAGAGGAUGAAGGAGCUUGAAGAGACGCAAAAUACGCAACAUCUCUUGGACCACAAAAAUGAAGUGCAAGAACAGU